GUCCCUCACGAGCGCAACCCCUAUUCCUAUUUGCUAACACCUUGGGUGAGAACUAUAGGAAAACUGCUAGUGAUAAACUGGAGGAAGGUGGGGACGAGGUCAAGUCAUCAUGGCCCUUACGACCAGGGCUACACACGUGUUACAAUGGAAAGUACAAAGGGUUGCUAAAUUGUGAAAUGGAGCUAAUCCCACAAAGCUUUCCGUAGUUCAGAUUAGAGUCUGCAACUCGACUCUAUGAAGUCGGAAUCGCUAGUAAUCGCGUAUCAGAAUGUCGCGGUGAAUACGUUCUCGGGUCUUGUACACACCGCCCGU
rnacentral:rRNA from 1 species